AUGGUUCCUUUUUUAACUCUUUCGUCUAGAUUUCGCCCAUUUGAACUUUGUAAGGAAGAGGAAUUAGUCCUUUAUUAUUACGGUCUAGUAGCAUUUUUCUUAACUAUAAGUGAGAAGUUCGAAUCUCAUGUUUGACGAGUUCAUAACCAAUUAUAAUUCAAGAAAUUACCAAUCCAAAUAUUAAUCAUGUCACAAAAUCCUCUAAAUAUGGCCAGUAUUCUUCUUCUUUCGACUGCAAACUCAAACUAUCUAACGUUGCAUAUAAAAGUAAGCUGUCAGGAUGACCCCGAUCUUCGACUGUAAACACGUGAGGCUUCCCAUUUACACGAACAAGGCUUUGUCCCGGAAAUUUUUUCACUUUGUUAAUCUUCAUCGCUCUUCUUACUGCAGCCGCUUCAUCCCACCUUCUCUCCGAUGCAUAUAUGUUAGCCAUCUCCACAAAUGGAACUGCCCCCUCGAGGUCGGGCUCCAACUCAAAUAGACGACCACAAGCGUAUUCACCCAUCUCUACGUUGCGAUGAAUCUUGCAAGCACUAAGCAACGCACUCCAUAUGCCGGCAUCUGGUUUCACUGGCAUACUUUCAACAAGCUCCACUGCUUCUUUUAACCUCCCUUUACGUCCAAGAAGAUCGGCGAUACAGGAAUAAUGAUCUACCCCGGGAUUUAUAUUGUAAACUUCUCUCAUCAUGUGAAAGAGCUCCAAUCCUUUCUCAAGAAACCCUGCAUGAGUGCAAGCUUGAAGAAUGGCAAGAAACGUCAAGUGGUUUGGUUUCAAUCCAAACUCCACCAUCAGACUGAAAAGGUCCAGAGCUUCUUUGUAUUCGCCAUUCAAAGCACACCCUGUGAUCAUCGUUGUCCAGGAAACAACAGUUCUCACUGGCAAGACAUUGAAGAGCUCUCGAGCACCAAUAAUAUUUCCACAUUUUGCAUGCAUGUCUAUUAAUGCAUUGCAGACCACUAUAUUGUCUCUUAACCCAUUAGAAAAGGCAUAUUGAUGAAUCCAUUUUCCAAGCUCAAGUGCUCCUGUUAGGCCGCAGCCUGAAACCAGUGAAAGGACAGUAACCAAAUCGGGUUUCACACCAGCAACUUCCAUAGCAUGAAACAACCUUAGUGCCUCGUCCAAAUCCCCUCUCUCAGCAUAUCCACUGAUCAUAGCAGUCCAUGAAACACAAGUCCUAUCAGUCAUGCCAUCAAAUAAAAAUCGAGAAGAUAAAAUAUCACUGCAUCUGGAAUACAUAGAUAUAAGGGCAUUGACAACAAAAAUAUCAGAAUCACAGCCCAGUUUAAUUCCAUGACAAUGAAUCAGCGCGCCCUGGAACAGUUUAUCAGGCUGAAUGCACGAAGAAAGGAGGCUUACGAUAGUGCUUGUAUCGGGCCUAUAUCCAUCGCACAACAUCCAUUUGUAAAAACUUAGAGCAUUGAUAAACUUUUCUAAGCUUCCAUAUCCUGCUAUUAAUGAGUUCCAAGACAC
rnacentral:sRNA from 1 species